rnacentral:tRNA from 1 species
UGGGAAUGAGUUUAAAAAAAUCAUUGGGGCUAAUCCCCAUACGUUAUGGUAAGGCAUCCCGCCUUGGCGGGACAUUCGGGGGUUCGAGUCCCUCAUCCCCAGCCA